rnacentral:rRNA from 1 species
GAUGAACGUUGGCGGUGCGCUUUAUGCAUGCAAGUCGUACGGAACCAUGGUUCUCGGAUCACGGUUCAGUGGCGGACGGCUGAGUAACACGUGGGUAACUUACCCGUGAGCGGGGGGAUAACUUACCGAAAGGUACGCUAAUACCGCAUGGUGUGAACCUGCAAAAGCAGGUUCACUAAAGUCGCAAGACACUCACGGAUAGGCCUGCGGCCGAUCAGCUAGUUGGUGAGGUAACGGCCCACCAAGGCUGUGAUCGGUAGCUGGUCUGAGAGGAUGUCCAGCCAGAUGGGGACUGAGACACGGCCCCAACUCCUACGGGAGGCAG